UACGUAGGGUGCGAGCGUUAAUCGGAAUUACUGGGCGUAAAGCGUGCGCAGGCGGUUCGUUAAGUCAGCUGUGAAAGCCCCGGGCUCAACCUGGGAAUUGCGGUUGAAACUGGCGGACUAGAAUCUGGCAGAGGGGGGUGGAAUUCCACGUGUAGCGGUGAAAUGCGUAGAGAUGUGGAGGAACACCGAUGGCGAAGGCAGCCCCCUGGGCUGAGAUUGACGCUCAGGCACGAAAGCGUGGGGAGCAAACAGG
rnacentral:rRNA from 1 species